rnacentral:rRNA from 1 species
AGAGUGAACGCUGGCGGCAGGCCUAAUACAUGCAAGUCGAACGGCAGCACAGCAGAGCUUGCUCUGUGGGUGGCGAGUGGCGGACGGGUGAGGAAUACAUGGGAAUCUGCCCAGUCGUGGGGGAUAACGUAGGGAAACUUACGCUAAUACCGCAUGUGCCCUUCGGGGGAAAGCCGGGGACCUUCGGGCCUGGCGCGAUUGGAUGAGCCCAUGUCGGAUUAGCUAGUUGGUGGGUAAAGCCCACCAAGGCGACGAUCCGUAGCUGGUCUGAGAGGAUGAUCAGCCACACUGGAACUGAGACACGGUCCAGACUCCUACGGGAGCAGCAGUAGGGAAUAUUGGACAAUGGGCGCAAGCCUGAUCCAGCCAUGCCGCGUGGAUGAUGAAGCCUUAGGUGUAAAAUCCUUUCGUUGGGACGAUAAUGACGGUACCAAAGAAGAAGCUCCGGCUAACUUCGUGCCAGCAGCCGCGGUAA